rnacentral:tRNA from 1 species
GCCCUGGUGGCACAAGUUAAGCACUUGGUUGCUAACCAAAAGUUUGGUGGUUCGAACCCACCCAGAGGCU